GAUGAACGCUAGCGGCAGGCCUAACACAUGCAAGUCGAGGGGCAUCGCGGUGCAGCAAUGCACUGGCAGCGACCGGCGUACGGGUGCGUAACGCGUAUGCAACCUGCCCCGCACCGGGGGAUAGCCCGCCGAAAGGCGGAUUAAUACCCCAUGGACCCCUUAGCCCCGCAUGGGGCGGAGGGUAAAGCUCCGGCGGGAAUGGAUGGGCAUGCGUGCCAUUAGCUGGUUGGUAAGGUAACGGCUUACCAAGGCUACGAUGGCUAGGGGGUCUGGGAGGAUGAUCCCCCACACUGGUACUGAGACACGGACCAGACUCCUACGGGAGGCAGCAGUGAGGAAUAUUGGUCAAUGGGCGGAAGCCUGAACCAGCCAUGCCGCGUGCAGGACGACGGCCCUACGGGUUGUAAACUGCUUUUCCGGGGGAAGAAUAACCCCCCUGCGGGGGGGAUGCCGGUACCCCGGGAAUAAGGAUCGGCUAACUCCGUG
rnacentral:rRNA from 1 species